rnacentral:piRNA from 1 species
UAGCCAUGAGAUCUGGCAAGAUUGGGUUGU